AUUGAACGCUGGCGGCAUGCCUUACACAUGCAAGUCGAACGGCAGCACGGGAGCAAUCCUGGUGGCGAGUGGCGAACGGGUGAGUAAAGUAUCGGAACGUGCCCAGUCGUGGGGGAUAACGUAGCGAAAGUUACGCUAAUACCGCAUACGAUCUAUGGAUGAAAGCGGGGGCUCGCAAGACCUUGCGCGAUGGGAGCGGCCGAUAUCAGAUUAGGUAGUUGGGGGGGUAAAGGCUCGCCAAGCCGACGAUCUGUAGCUGGUCUGAGAGGACGACCAGCCACACUGGGACUGAGACACGGCCCAGACUCCUACGGGAGGCAGCAGUGGGGAAUUUUGGACAAUGGGCGAAAGCCUGAUCCAGCCAUGCCGCGUGCAGGAUGAAGGCCUUCGGGUUGUAAACUGCUUUUGUACGGAACGAAAAGGUUUGGCCUAAUAAGCUGAGCUCAUGACGGUACCGUAAGAAUAAGCACCGGCUAACUACGUGCCAGCAGCCGCGGUAA
rnacentral:rRNA from 1 species